GACGAACCGUGCGAACGUUGUUCGGAAUCACUGGGCUUAAAGGGCGCGUAGGCGGCGAGUCAAGUCCGGGGUGAAAUCUUUCAGCUCAACUGGAAAAGUGCCUUGGAUACUGAUUCGCUCGAGGGAGGUAGGGGCCGAGGGAACUUCCGGUGGAGCGGUGAAAUGCGUAGAUAUCGGAAGGAACGCCGGUGGCGAAAGCGCUCGGCUGGACCUCUUCUGACGCUGAGGCGCGAAAGCUAGGGGAGCAAACGGG
rnacentral:rRNA from 1 species